rnacentral:rRNA from 1 species
CAGUCGCCGCGGUAAUACGUAGGGUGCAAGCGUUAAUCGGAAUUACUGGGCGUAAAGCGUGCGCAGGCGGUUUGUUAAGACAGAUGUGAAAUCCCCGGGCUCAACCUGGGAACUGCAUUUGUGACUGGCAAGCUAGAGUGUGGCAGAGGGGGGUGGAAUUCCGCGUGUAGCAGUGAAAUGCGUAGAUAUGCGGAGGAACACCGAUGGCGAAGGCAGCCCCCUGGGCCAACACUGACGCUCAUGCACGAAAGCGUGGGGAGCAAACAGGAUUAGAGACCCGCGUAGUCCCUGUCUCUUAUAC